AGUGAACGAAUCCAAAUUCCGGGAAAAAGAAGUCGGCCCUUAAUCGCUGCCCAGGGAUCUUCUGAUGAUCUCAGACGAGCACCAAGACGAGGCUGACUAAUGGAAACACGAUCUCAAGAGAUUCAACAGGUAGGGAUGACUCUGGCUUUUGUUUGAUCGUCUUUCAUUCGAAUAUAUGAUGCUCACUGUGCAGUGUUAUUAUGGACACUGACAGUUGCUAUAAACAGUCAGACCUGGGUACAUUCACUGAUCAAACAGAGAUAGCAGUGGUAGUUCAGGUGUAUUAAGGUCAGACAGGAUCAGGGUGGUGGCACUGGCUUUAUGCCCAUGUAAAAAAAAAAAAAAAAGUGUAACUGAAGACAUGACAGCACGGUAAAGAAUGCAGUUGCACAGAGAUAUCACUUCAAACACUGCUUCUCUCAGGAGCCUCAGAUCCUUUCAAUGGAACUGAAUGAAGAUAUGCUUUGAUGGCCCACCACGGAGUCGGUGGCCUUCAAAUAAACCCGUUGACGGGAUUGUGCGCGGCAGCGAGGCAUGCGCUGCAUACGUGCGCCUCUUGGGGUAGCCGUGGGUGUUCUCAGUGGAGGUCAAACAUGCUUGACCCCGACAUGAGUAGUCUUCUUCUGUAAACUUCAUGCUCGCGUUAUCUUCUUGUAUUUCUUCUUACCUGGGUCCCUCAGUAAAUGAAGCGUGUGUGUGUGUGUGUGUGUGUGUGUGUGUGUGUGUGUGUGUGUGUGUGUGUGUGUGUGUGUGUGUGUGUGUGUGUGUGUGUGUGUGUGUGUGUGUGUGUGUGUGUGUGUGUGUGUGGAUGGCAGGGAGCCAGCCGCCAGGUACAGUAGAUGUGCUGAUGAGGGAGGGAGAUAGGGGACGGCCUCUGUCGCAGCCCCAGGCACGGACAGGCGCACACGGGCAGGCUGCCGCUCAGAGGCAGGUUGGGACCUGGUUCUGUAUGCUGAUGCUGCUCUACUGGCUCUGCUCCAGGGAUCAUACUAAGUCCUGGCUUGGACUACGGACCAGCACAUCCUGCAGCAGAUGUUUGCUCUUGGCACGGCUGCCGACAGCAUGAGCUCCAUCACUGACAAUCUUGCGCUCAGGAUCCGCGCCAGCAACUUGGACUUGAAGAAGCUCUGACAUUAACUCAGCUGGACAGUGGAGUGUAUUCUGCUACUCCGACAUCAUGGAACAGAUCAGUCAACUUUGUCUGGAGAGAUGCUCAGUAGGAAGGCCAAAUCAACGAAUGUGCCUUGACCGUGGCUACCACAAUGGACCUCCAUAUUAUUUGACUUUUUCUAAAUUGAACCUGGAUUAAUAUUUUCCUGUAUAUGCAUCUGCUUUUGAUAUCCAGCGCUUAUUCAGACUGUUGUUCAUACAGUGCACCCUAGUUGUGACAUUUACUGUGUUAUUCUGGGACAAGUACCAACGAGCGCUGGAACUGUAAAUGGAAUAAAAUCAGAUGUUACUUUCAUUUCUUAAGACUAUUUUUGCAAACUGAUGGCAGCACUUACACUAGCGCAGGCACACAUGAAGUUUAUGUGAAGAGCGCAAUAGAUGUCUCCUGUGGCGUAAAACAAAGGAAUACAUGCGAUCAAGAUCAAUGAUGUCAGAAGGAUUACUCAGUCACUGGAAAUGUACCUUUAUCAUGAGAUCUUCGAAUGGCGUUUCACAAUGAAGCUAUUAUCAUCAGGGUGCUGAUGAAUGUUCUCUUACCGACACUGCAUUUCACUGUGACACAUUGACAGCCUGUGUGUGGUUAAUAAUCCUGUCAAGCUGCUUAUUUUCUUGAUGAUUUGUUGCUCUGUAACUUUCGCUGUGUCUGUGAAACCUCAUUUGCAGAAAUUAAAAAAAAUAAAUACACCCGAGCCUUUGUCUAUUUUGUUAUUGCAGUUUCAGAUCUACCAGAUUAUUAACUGAUAAGAUGAUUUCACGGUGUUUGUUUUACGUCUGCAAAAGUGUCUGUGCUGUUAUUGUUAGUCAUGUUAGCUUCAUGACUAGUUUGGCCAGUAUUUGCCAAUCUGUUACACUUGAAUUAUAGACUCACUCUUUAUUAUUUUCCUUUUUUUCAGGCAAUGAGAUGCAAAGUAAAAUUAUGUUAUUUAAAUAUUAAUAAGCUGAAAUGUUAUAUUGAAAAUCAGAGCGUUUUGGAUCAAUUUUAGGUGCUCUAGCACAAAAACAUAAUUUACCUAUUUCACAAGGCUAUUUUCCUAAAAAAAUAUGACAUCAUGGAAAAUAUGAAUGCCUGCUGAGUUUAGUUUCAGUUAAUCGUGAAUGCAGGAUGUUGACAGAAGUGUUUUAAUGUCACUUUCCAGAUCAACACGGGUCAAACUGCAGGGAGUUUUUACCAUACUGUGUUUUAAAAAAUCCCCACAACCCCUUGUUUUCUACAGAAAGACAUUCCUGUGUACACUAAAAAAAAGCAUUUGUUGCUUUCAGUUUGUUUGAGUAAGGUUGACAAUUCAGCGGUGACUUCCCAUUCAACUGUCUCUCACUGUCAAUUUCAGCUGCGAUUCAAUAAGGUUUGGCCAAGGGGGAGAAGCUGCAGGGGGAGGGGGGUGUCGGCGUGAGAGUGCGGGGUAGUGGAGUUGCUAAGGGGGUAAUUAUUCCUCAAGGGGUUGCUUAUUGUUGUCUUUUUCUCUGCAAUAAAACAAAGACGACCGGUCUAGUCUCCAUUGCAGCGGGCACAGGCUUUCAUUUCUGCGCUUGACAAUGUCCUGACAAGUUGUUCAAAGCAUCAUAUAGGGAUCAUAUUAAGAAUCAAAUUUGUGGGGGACAAGGUCAUCACCAUCUGAAAAAGAAAAUUGGGUGUGAAGGCCCCGGCGCUGAUGUGAUGGAAGUUGAGCUUCAUGACAUCCUUAUAGCCCUGCUUACGGUCAACAACAUUAGCAUGUCGACAAUGCACUUCCCUGCUUGCUUGCCCCCCCCACACACACACACACUUUUUUUUCGCACACAUACACAGCUCAGGGGAAAAAUGACCUCUCUGCAGCUCUCAAUUCACUGCACUUCUAUAGCCCUGAAUGGAUCGGCUCAACAAAGGGUGACAUAAUUUUCUCAGGGUUUGAUUGGCCCCCUCCAUGCUACAGGAUGACAUCAUGCAACCCCCCUCCCCUCCUAAAUACACCCCAACUAGCAACAGCACACAACCUACCCCCCUCUGCUCCAUGUUCUUGGAUGCUGGGUUGCCAAGACAACAGAGUUAGGCCCGGGCUGUGGGGCAGGACUUGGCAAUAUAUCGCGGCUUGGCUGUCCAUAAUGAGCUCAGGCUGCGUUGCUCUUGUGUUUGCAGUAAACAGUCUUGGGAAAUGAUAGUGGCAGAAGAAGGACAGAUGGGGAGGGAUGAGGAACACUGUCCUGGAUAUAAUGGUGGUUCCCCUCAUUGUUCAAGCUAUCGUCCGUAAAAGUGCUGAUGUAACUAUCCGAGAAUUAGAAAAGUACUCGGUGUCAAAUUGGUGUCGAACCGCAAACUUUAAAUGUCAAGCUUUGUGUCGACCCGCUUACCCCUCACUUGAAGCUCUGCCAAGUUUUGGUGUGAGUUUCAUUGUGUUUCACUUUCCCUCGUCUGAGUUUCAAGGAGGGAGUGUGUGUGUUCAUGGGAUGGCAGAUGAGGGGGCAUUUGAGGAGGGACGUGGGCUCAUGAACAGCCCACAAGCAGGAUUCAUUUUCUGCAGGCAUUGUGUUUGUCUGCCCUCCGUUCUUUUGGCUGUUUUAGAAUAUGCUUUUUGAAAUUAAAGUCUUAUUUUAACUUUUCAAGCUAAGUAGAAAAAGAAAAGAAGAUUCUUGACAUGUUUUCACAGAUAAACCCUUUUCUUUCUUUUUUUACGUACGCACAAUUAGAAAAAGUGCAGUAAUUGGGGUGUUUCUUCAUUUAUCGGCCUAUGACGUCAAGCAACAAAUCCUGGGUUCUCCCACAGUAUCAGUGCCAGAGAGCUGCCAUUGGCUGCUGUGACCCUGACUAAUAAAUGCCACUUUUCAUGCUGGUGCGCAUUCAGGACUAUUAUAGGCCCUGUACACCAGAGUAUCACACACAUACAAAUGGCUGCUUCCCCUUGGAAUUGUCGUUAAUGAGGAUAAUUUGAAGUGAGGUUGACAUGCAGCCCGGAGCCAAACCUUGUUGGUUCCAAACACUCCUGCAGCAUAGACGCCUUUAAGCACACUCCAAACCAUUUCCUCAAAUUGGGGCUGCAUCCGAAGAAAAAAAUGACACAAUUACCACUUGGUCUUGGAAAAAGUCCACGUCUCAUGUAAAACGUUACUGAAAGAGCAAUGUAUGACGCAUGGCUGUGCUUGCACUGGUACACACUGGGUUUAAUGGACAAAAUAAGAUAACUUUUUCAUCUGCUCUUCCCAUACAGCUGUCUGUCUUUAUCUUGUGCAUCGUGAGCCAAGUCCCUUACCCACUUUAAAGUGCCCCUCUCUGCAGGCUCCAUGCUUUCCCUUUGGUGUGAUAUGAUUAACUGCGGUGUGCUGGUUUGGCCCCUCCUUGGACUUGGUUGGAAGAAAGCAUAGCUUUAGUGGGUUUCCGAGCUUGGACGAGUGCUGUCGGGGUAUCGGUUACCUCUGGCAUGCUGAGGGUGCGUGGGCUCCCAGUGGCCAUGACGUCCAUCCACUCAGCGCUGCCUGCACUGGAGAAAUUGUGGGAAUCCACUCCGUUCCCUUUUCUCUGUAUUUUCCACAAUUGUUCUUUAUAGAGGUAACCUAUUUUC
ensembl:lncRNA